UUCACUAGGAACUCAAAGGCGGCAAGUAGAAAACAAAAGCAAUGCUGCAUCUGCAUGGCAUGAGUGCUCAAUUAUUCAGCUUGAUCUCUCUCGAGUCAGGUUCGAAAUGCUGGUUCCCUUCCUCCUCUCCCCAGGAUUACCCUGUUCACCAAUCUGCUCGGGACAACCAUUUAAUCAAAUCCAAUUUCCACCGCUUGUUCCAUCACAAAUCUGUGAAAAUCUCCAAUGAUCUCUUGAGUUCAUUGCUGCCUCAGAUCCCAAAUCUAAAGGAAACAUCACCACUCAACCCACCCCCAUCAAAUCCAAGCAGAUCCCCAAGCAUCCUCCAUCUUUCCACCGUUCCUGAUAUGGAUCCAGCCAGGAUUGCUCUAGUCCAUACACGGGAAGUGGAAUUGAGCUAUCCGAGCACGGAUCUGCUGACAGGGCUUCUUGGCAUCCUCAUCCUCAACAAGCACUGCAUGGUUUCCCAUCUAAAGAGUAUGAGAAGCAGAAGCAUGACGCCAUCUCCCUGCAGUGCUCUUCACCUCCAUCAACUACAACAUGAACAUCUGGCUCUGGUGCCAGCCUCAAGGGUGCCAGGGGCACGAUGAGAUUUUAAGCUGGAACUGUCGAGAUAUGGGCAGGAGCCUUGGCAGCAGCACAAUGCAACAUCUCGCCUGACUCAUGACAUCGACACACACUCAGAGGAAGCUCAUUUAGUCCACCAGCACCAAAUUCUCCUAGAUAAGAUCACAGAAUACUACAAGCAAAGAGCGAAAAAGCUCUGGGCAGUUGAUGGUGAUGACGCCGCCGAGUUCUUCCAGCAGACUGUUAUUAAAAGGAAAUGGAAAAGUUGUCUUGCACACAUCCAGGAUAUCCAAGGAAAUAUAAUUUCAACUCCUGGUGAAAUAGCUGAUUUUUUCAUAACGUAUUUCGAUAAUCUUUUCUCUACCUCUAAUCCUGCCUGUUCCUCCAAUGCAGAGUAGUCAACAACAGGUACUUUUGGAUGACCAUUUUACCAUGACCAUUCCAGAUACAUAUGAACUUUUGCAGUUGAUAAAAAGGAUGAAAGAUGCUGCACCAGGACCUGACGGUCUCAAUAUUACUUUCUACAGGGCUGCUUGGGACUGGAUUCAAGAGGACGUUACUGAUUUAAUCACUAAUUUUUACAGAAAAAGGGUUUCAGUUACAUUGACUAGUGAACCAGACUGACUAUGCUGGACACCAGCUCCGUCAGGAGUUUGCACCUCAAAGGAUGCAUUCCGAGUUCUAGAAACUGCAGCUCAACAGCCUCCACCAUCUCAGGGAAGCAGAUCAAUCACUCAGGACACGCUCAACAUUCUCAAGACGGUUUGGAAAGACUAAGCUGUUGCAGCCUAGGAUCAAGACAUUUGCAUGGCGGUUGCUACGAAAUGCUCUGCCAACAGGAGCGAGCGCUCAUCGAUUCUCUCAGCAUUUUUUUUAGCAGGAAAACAAAGCUUCCACUUAACCAGAGGCUCCAGGGAGAUCCCCAGAGACCAAAUUGGCUACAAAUUCGAGGACUUGGUUCAUGAACACCACUGAACCAGAACGUACAACGUUCGCCCCAUGAGCAGCAAGGCUAUCAGCCACUUUGUUGCAUGAUCUCGGACAAACUCGAACCACACAUCGAUCAAACACUUGAUUCAUAAAAUUCCUGAUUUGGCGAAAUAGACCCCCUUCUGUGCUUCUGUCCAGAUCAUCAGAAGUCAGUCCUUUAUGGAGAUUUGAUGCAUCUCAAGCACUAUUCUCGUCAUUCCCAGUUGAGCCACUCUUUGUAGACUAUUCAAAGCAGCCUAGGCUUCGGCGUGUAUUGGACUUGUGACAUACUCUAGAGAUCCACAACCUCCUAAAAACUCACCAGUAUUAUCUCUUGCUACAAAACCCCAUCCACCAGUGUUUGAUUUGGCCCGAAAAGCUGCAUCAAUGUUAAUCUUAUAACAUCCAGGUUGUGGAGGUUCCCAUUUGUGUUCCUGUUUUUGUCCUUUUUCUGUUUCCUUCUUCCUUAGUUUUUCAAAAUCAGCCACAAAAAAGGUAACAAGCGAGCUUAUUUCCUGAGCUGACAGCCUUUUGUCUCCAGCAUUAACCUUAUUUCUAGCCAACCACCACCUCCAUAACAGAACCCAUACCUUCUGUUGUGUAUCUUCAUCCAUUUUCCAAAUUUCUUUAAUUGUCUCCUUUGCUGAUUUACAUUCCACCAGGAGAGUUCUAAUAUGUUCCAUUUCCAAUAGUCGCCAAACUCCCUUAACGCCCUGGCAUUUGAAAAAAAGAUGGCCACAAUCCUCGUCCAAUCUCCUGCACAUAGGACAGAUUGUUUCAUUUUUCAUUCCUCUUCUAGCAAUAUUUCUUCGAACUGCCAAGCUAUUGUGUGCUAGUCUCCAUAUAAACAUUUUCACUUUGUUUGGGAGAGGCAGUUUCCAAAUCCUUUUCCAUUCGAAUCUGUCCACACCUGAGUCAUUAGCAUUUGAUCUCGAUGCAUCCCUUGCCUUAUCUUGCUCUCUUUUGCUAACAGCCAGUUUGUACGCAGAUUUUACAGAGAAGUCCCCUUUAGGAUUAAAGUGCCAUGCUGGCCAGUCUUCACUGUUGUCAUCUGUAGCCAUUGACAAAAUAAUUUCAGCAUCUCUCUCCCAGAAAGUGUCAUUCACCAGCUGUUCAUCCCAAGAACCGGUUAAGGGAUCAAUCAAUUCUGACACUUUUGUGAGUAAAGAAGAACCCCUUGGGGUGGCUGGUCGACGAGUAACCCCAGUGGAAUCCAUGGAUCCGACCAAAUAUCUAAAGAAGUUCCUUUGCCCACCCGCCAGAUCACUUCUUCUUUUAAAAUUUCAACCCCAUGUAAAAUACUCCUCCAAGUGUAUGAAAUUCCAUCCCUUGUUGUACACUUUAAAAUGGUACUAUCAGCAAAGUAUUUUGCCUUCAGGACCCGGCUGCACAGAGAAUCCGGAUUGGUCAAAAUCCUCCAUGCCUGCCUUGCCAACAUAGCCACAUUGAAUAAAUACAAGUCCCUAAAGCCCAAACCUCCAUCUUUUUUUGGGAGAGUAAGUUUGUCCCAGCUCAGCCAAUGGAUCUUAUUCUCCUUAUCAUUUUGAUUCCACCACCAUUUUCCAAUAAGCGAAUUCAGUUCAUCACACAAUCCCUUGGUUAGAUCAAAACACGACAUUGCAUAGGUUGGAAUAGCUUGUGCCACAGCUUUAAUCAGUACCUCUUUGCCCGCUUUAGAAAGCAACUUCUCUUGCCAUCCUUCAAUUCUUCCCCAGAUUCUCCUUUUAAUAUAUUCAAACACUUUCUUCCGUGAUUUGCCAAUAGAUACAGGGAGACCCAGAUAUCGCUCACUUUUUGCCUCUGAACCAAUAUGUAAUUCUUCCCUUACCUGGGCUUUGCAAAUCACAUCUGUAUUUGGGCUGAAUAAAACUGAAGACUUAUCUCUAUUUAUCAGCUGUCCCGACGCCCUCUCAUAAACAUGCAGGAUUCUUUGUAAUUCACUGGCAUCCUCCUUUCGCGCUCUCAUAAGGAUUAGAGAGUCAUCCGCAAAGAACAAAUGAUUUAUCCUCGGUGCUGCCUCACAUAUUUUGAUUCCUUGAAUUUUACCUUCUGAUUCAGCAUUUUGCAGCAAGGCUGACAAAGCUUCCGCACAAAUAAUGAAUAAAUACGGGCUGAGGGGAUCUCCUUGCCGAAGCCCUCUUUGUGGAGUCACAUUUGUUGUGUAUUCAUCAUUAACCUUAAUGCGAUAGGAAACCGUCGUAACACACAUCAUAAUCAAAUUAAUCUACUUUUCACUAAAACCUAGCUUUUCCAUCAUUUUCUUCAAAAAUAUCCACUCCACUCGAUCAUAGGCUUUACUCAUGUCCAAUUUUAUUGCUGCUACCCCUUCUUUCCCUCUCCUUUGUUUUAAAUAGUGAGUCAGUUCAUAUGCCACCGGUACAUUAUCCGUGAUUAGACGACCUGGGACAAAGGCACUCUGGAAUUGGGAAAUAAUUUCUGGUAAGAUUGUUUUCAUUCUAUUUGCUAUGGCCUUUGAGAUCAACUUGUAUGCAACAUUACAUAGACUGAUGGGGCGCAGGUCCUUCAGUUUUUCUGGUUUAUUUACUUUUGGAAUCAGCACUAUUAUAGUAUCAUUCCAACCCCGUGGCAUACGACCUCCAUUCAACACACUGAGCACCUCUUCCUUCAAUUUGUCCCCAACCAGCGACUAGAACCUCUUGUAAAAGAUUGACGGAAUUCCAUCAGCCCCUGGGGCCUUCAGAUCGCCCAUUUCUUGCAAAGCUUUCCAGACUUCAUCAUCCGAGAAAGGAGCCUCCAAACACUCAUUCAUUUCAUGUGACACCCGGGUAUGGACACACCCAAGCACCUCCUCCAUCUGAACACCUGCAUUAGACAUAAAAAGAUCUUGAUAUUGGUUAGCUAUAAAAGUUUUCAGAGAUUUCCCCGCCACCACAUCUCCCCCAUCCUUCAACAGCUUGUCAAUAUGAUUCUUCUUUCUCCUUUCAGAAACUUGGGCAUGAAAAAAUUUAGUAUUUCGAUCACCCUGGGUCAGCCAAGUAGAAUGGGCUCGCUGCUUCCAAUAUAUAUGCUGUUGGUCCAACAACCUCUCCAA